rnacentral:ncRNA from 1 species
GGCGCGGUCAACGAGUCGGGUUGUUUGGGAAUGCAGCCCAAAUCGGGCGGUAGACUCCGUCCAAGGCUAAAUACAGGCGCACGACCGAUAGCGAACAAGUACCGCGAGGGAAAGAUGAAAAGGACUUUGAAAAGAGAGUCAAAGAGUGCUUGAAAUUGCCGGGAGGGAAGCGGAUGGGGGCCGGCGAUGCGCCCCGGCCGUAUGCGG